GCGGUCGUGGCGGAAUGGUAGACGCGCUGUCUUCAGACGGCAGUAUCUAUAGGAUGUGUGGGUUCAAAUCCCAUCGACCGUACCA
rnacentral:tRNA from 1 species